AUUGAACGCUGGCGGCAGGCCUAACACAUGCAAGUCGAGCGGUGGAAGGGAGCUUGCUCCUGGAAUCAGCGGCGGACGGGUGAGUAAUGCCUAGGAAUCUGCCUGGUAGUGGGGGAUAACGUCCGGAAACGGGCGCUAAUAUCGCCUACGUGCUGACGGAGAAAGAGGGGGAUCCUCGGACCUCACGAAAUCAGAUGAGCCUAGGUCGGCUUAGGUAGUUGGUGGGGUAAAGGCCUCCCAAGGCGAAGGUCCGUAACGGGUCUGAGAGGAGGAGCAGUCACACUGCACCUGCAACGCGGUCCAGGCUCCUACGGGAGGCAGCGGAGGGGAAUAGUGGACUGUGGGCUGAGUCCUGGUCCGGUCCUGCCGCGUGGGGUAAGAAGGUCUUCCGAUUGUAAAGCUCUUUUAGUUGGGAGGAAGGGCAGUAAGUUAAUACCUUGCUGUUUUGACGUUACCUACAGAAUAAGCACCGGCUAACUUCGUG
rnacentral:rRNA from 1 species